GAUGAACGCUGGCGGCGUGCUUAACACAUGCAAGUCGAACGGAAAGGCCGAAGCUUGCUUCGGUACUCGAGUGGCGAACGGGUGAGUAACACGUGGGUGAUCUGCCCUGUACUUCGGGAUAAGCUUGGGAAACUGGGUCUAAUACCGGAUAUGACAAUCUCUUGGAUGGGGUUGUGGAAAGCUUUUGCGGUAUGGGAUGAGCUCGCGGCCUAUCAGCUUGUUGGUGGGGUAAUGCCUACCAAGGCGUCGACGGGUAGCCGGCCUGAGAGGGUGUACGGCCACAUUGGGACUGAGAUACGGCCCAGACUCCUACGGGAGGCAGCAGUGGGGAAUAUUGCACAAUGGGCGCAAGCCUGAUGCAGCGACGCCGCGUGGGGGAUGACGGCCUUCGGGUUGUAAACUCCUUUCGCAACCGACGAAGCUUUUGUGACGGUAGGUUGAGAAGAAGCACCGGCUAACUACGUG
rnacentral:rRNA from 1 species